rnacentral:rRNA from 1 species
AUUACCGCGGCUGCUGGCACGGAGUUAGCCGGUGCUUCUUCUGCGAGUAACGUCAAUUGAUGAACGUAUUAAGUUCACCACCUUCCUCCUCGCUGAAAGUGCUUUACAACCCGAAGGCCUUCUUCACACACGCGGCAUGGCUGCAUCAGGCUUGCGCCCAUUGUGCAAUAUUCCCCACUGCUGCCUCCCGUAGG